rnacentral:rRNA from 1 species
GACGAACGCUGGCGGCGUGCUUAACACAUGCAAGUCGAACGGAAAGGCCCUGCUUUUGUGGGGUGCUCGAGUGGCGAACGGGUGAGUAACACGUGAGUAACCUGCCCUUGACUUUGGGAUAACUUCAGGAAACUGGGGCUAAUACCGGAUAGGAGCUCCUGCUGCAUGGUGGGGGUUGGAAAGUUUCGGCGGUUGGGGAUGGACUCGCGGCUUAUCAGCUUGUUGGUGGGGUAGUGGCUUACCAAGGCUUUGACGGGUAGCCGGCAUGAGAGGGUGAACGGCCACAUUGGGACUGAGAUACGGACCAGACUCCUACGGGAGGCAGCAGUGGGGAAUAUUGCACAAUGGGCGGAAGCCUGAUGCAGCAACGCCGCGUGCGGGAUGACGGCCUUCGGGUUGUAAACCGCUUUCGCCUGUGACGAAGCGUGAGUGACGGUAAUGGGUAAAGAAGCACCGGCUAACUACGUG